rnacentral:rRNA from 1 species
GAUGAACGCUGGCGGCGUGCCUAAUACAUGCAAGUCGAGCGAACGCACGAGUAGCUUGCCUCUCUGAUGUCAGCGGCGGACGUGAUACUAACACGCGUACCCCCUCCUUAUAAGUAUCGGAUCACAAAGUGUACUCGGACCUCAUACCGGCUACUAUUUUGAACCGCAUGGCUUAAAAGCGAACGCCGGCCUUGCUGUCACUUAUAGAUGGAUCCGCGCUGCAUUAGCUAGUUGGUAAGGUAAAGGCUUACCAAGUCGACGAUGCGUAGCCGACCUGAGAGGAUGAUCGGCCACACUGGGACUGAGACACGGUCCAGACUCCUACGGGAGGCAGCAGUAGGGAAUCUUCCGCAAUGGGCGAAAGCCUGACGGAGCAACGCCGCGUGAGUGAUGAAGGUCUUCGGAUCGUAAAACUCUGUUAUUAGGGAAGAACAGAUGUGUAAGUAACUGGGCACAUCUUGACGGUACCUAAUCAGAAAGCCACGGCUAACUACGUG